UACAGAGGGUGCGAGCGUUAAUCGGAAUUACUGGGCGUAAAGCGCGUGUAGGCUGCUCUGCAAGUCGGAUGUGAAAGCCCUGGGCUCAACCUAGGAAGUGCAUUCGAAACUGCAGAGCUGGAGUCCUGGAGAGGAAGGCGGAAUUCUCGGUGUAGAGGUGAAAUUCGUAGAUAUCGAGAGGAACACCGGUGGCGAAGGCGGCCUUCUGGACAGUGACUGACGCUGAGACGCGAAAGCGUGGGGAGCAAACAGG
rnacentral:rRNA from 1 species